rnacentral:rRNA from 1 species
CGAUGAAGCCGCUUCGGUGGUGGAUUAGUGGCGAACGGGUGAGUAACACGUGGGCAAUCUGCCCUGCACUCUGGGACAAGCCCUGGAAACGGGGUCUAAUACCGGAUACGACCACCGGCCGCAUGGCCUGGUGGUGGAAAGCUCCGGCGGUGCAGGAUGAGCCCGCGGCCUAUCAGCUUGUUGGUGGGGUGAUGGCCUACCAAGGCGACGACGGGUAGCCGGCCUGAGAGGGCGACCGGCCACACUGGGACUGAGACACGGCCCAGACUCCUACGGGAGGCAGCAGUGGGGAAUAUUGCACAAUGGGCGCAAGCCUGAUGCAGCGACGCCGCGUGAGGGAUGACGGCCUUCGGGUUGUAAACCUCUUUCAGCAGGGAAGAAGCUUUUAUCGGUGACGGUACCUGCAGAAGAAGCACCGGCUAACUACGUGCCAGCAGCCGCGGUAAUACGUAGGGUGCGAGCGUUGUCCGGAAUUAUUGGGCGUAAAGAGCUCGUAGGCGGCUUGUCGCGUCGGAUGUGAAAGCCCGGGGCUUAACCCCGGGUCUGCAUUCGAUACGGGCAGGCUAGAGUUCGGCAGGGGAGAUCGGAAUUCCUGGUGUAGCGGUGAAAUGCGCAGAUAUCAGGAGGAACACCGGUGGCGAAGGCGGAUCUCUGGGCCGAUAC